AAGUCGUAACAAGGUUUCCGUAGGUGAACCUGCGGAAGGAUCAUUAUUGAAUAAACUUGGUCGGGUUGCUGCUGGCUUUUCGGAGCAUGUGCACGCCUGCCACCAUUUUUUUUUACCACCUGUGCACUCUUUGUAGAUCUAGAAUAUCUCUCGAGGAAACUCGGUUUGAGAGAUGCUGUGCGCAAGCCAGCUUCUCUUGCAUUCUAGGUCUAUGUAUUAUUAUACCCCAUACUAUAUUUCAGAAUGUCAUUAAUGGGCCUUGUGCCUUUAAAUUAAUACAACUUUCAACAACGGAUCUCUUGGCUCUC
rnacentral:misc_RNA from 1 species